AGCCUUUGAAUAUUCGGACUCUCCUUGAAUCGUGAGAGAAAAGUUAGACCAGAAUUUCAAGAAAAAGGUAUAUUUUAUAUGUAUAUAAAAAGCAAGGAUCUCACUGAAUGUCAAUAUGUUCUCUUAUAAGUGAGAGUUUCAUGUCCCCAAUAACUAUGUCUCUUUCUAUUUACAAGGAUCUACCUUGAUCUAUGUUGACUCCUCUCGACCCCGCCCUUUAUCUCUUGUGAGAUCGCUACGACCUUGAACAUGCCUUUUGUCG
rnacentral:lncRNA from 1 species